rnacentral:rRNA from 1 species
GAUGAACGCUGGCGGCGUGCCUAAUACAUGCAAGUCGAGCGAACAGAUGAGGAGCUUGCUCCUCUGACGUUAGCGGCGGACGGGUGAGUAACACGUGGAUAACCUACCUAUAAGACUUGGAUAACUUCGGGAAACCGGAGCUAAUACCGGAUAAUAUAUUGAACCGCAUGGUUCAAUAGUGAAAGACGGUUUUGCUGUCACUUAUAGAUGGAUCCGCGCCGCAUUAGCUAGUUGGUAAGGUAACGGCUUACCAAGGCAACGAUGCGUAGCCGACCUGAGAGGGUGAUCGGACAAACUGGAACUGAGACACGGUCCAGACUCCUACGGGAGGCAGCAGUAGGGAAUCUUCCGCAAUGGGCGAAAGCAUGACGGAGCAACGCCGCGUGAGUGAUGAAGGGCUUCGGAUCGUAAAACUCUGUUAUUAGGGAAGAACAAAUGUGUAAGUAACUAUGCACGUCUUGACGGUACCUAAUCAGAAAGCCACGGCUAACUACGUG